UCAUGGCCAUCGAAAACCCUAGCACUAUAAAUAGCAAGAGUGAGAGACGCCAUUGAAACUCUCCUGUUCCACUCUUGACUCUGGAGAAUUUGAAGGCGGUGAUCGGCGGAGAGUUCGGGAACUUCAAGCUCCGGCAAUGAGGGCGAAGUGGAAGAAGAAACGCAUGAGGAGACUCAAGAGGAAGCGCCGAAAGAUGAGGCAAAGAUCCAAGUAAUUCUUGUGCGGUGAAGUUAUGGGCGCCAUCCAACUCUUCCUUUCCGACAUCUUUUUUGGGGCUAAUUCCUUUGGCUGCCUGACGGUUGGGCAGGAGGUCUUUUUGGAGCCUUUACUUUUACCGAACUCUCUUGUGGUUGACUUCUUUUGCAGCAUUUAGUUGAAUUAGAAUUCCGGAACAUCUACUAUGUCUUUGAA